GGGUUGUGAGGUUAAGCGACUAAGCGUACACGGUGGAUGCCCUGGCAGUCAGAGGCGAUGAAGGACGUGCUAAUCUGCGAUAAGCGUCGGUAAGGUGAUAUGAACCGUUAUAACCGGCGAUUUCCGAAUGGGGAAACCCAGUGUGUUUCGACACACUAUCAUUAACUGAAUCCAUAGGUUAAUGAGGCGAACCGGGGGAACUGAAACAUCUAAGUACCCCGAGGAAAAGAAAUCAACCGAGAUUCCCCCAGUAGCGGCGAGCGAACGGGGAGCAGCCCAGAGCCUGAAUCAGUGUGUGUGUUAGUGGAAGCGUCUGGAAAGGCGUGCGAUACAGGGUGACAGCCCCGUACACAAAAAUGCACAUGCUGUGAGCUCGAUGAGUAGGGCGGGACACGUGGUAUCCUGUCUGAAUAUGGGGGGACCAUCCUCCAAGGCUAAAUACUCCUGACUGACCGAUAGUGAACCAGUACCGUGAGGGAAAGGCGAAAAGAACCCCGGCGAGGGGAGUGAAAAAGAACCUGAAACCGUGUACGUACAAGCAGUGGGAGCACGCUUAGGCGUGUGACUGCGUACCUUUUGUAUAAUGGGUCAGCGACUUAUAUUCUGUAGCAAGGUUAACCGAAUAGGGGAGCCGAAGGGAAACCGAGUCUUAACUGGGCGUUAAGUUGCAGGGUAUAGACCCGAAACCCGGUGAUCUAGCCAUGGGCAGGUUGAAGGUUGGGUAACACUAACUGGAGGACCGAACCGACUAAUGUUGAAAAAUUAGCGGAUGACUUGUGGCUGGGGGUGAAAGGCCAAUCAAACCGGGAGAUAGCUGGUUCUCCCCGAAAGCUAUUUAGGUAGCGCCUCGUGAAUUCAUCUCCGGGGGU
rnacentral:rRNA from 1 species